rnacentral:misc_RNA from 1 species
AACGCACCUUGCGCCCCUUGGCUAUUCCGAGGGGCAUGCCUGUUUGAGUAUCAUGAACAUCUCAACUCUCACGCUUUGCCGUGAUGAGCUUGGACUUUUGGGGGUUUUGCUGGCCCUAUGGUCAGCUCCUCUAAAACGGAUCAGCUUGCCAGUGUUUGGUGGCGUCACGGGUGUGAUAACUAUCUACGCUUGCGAUUGUCUGCCAAGUAACCUUCGGUGACGGAGGUUCGCUGGAGCUUAUAAACGUCUCUCCUCAGCGAAGACAGCUUUUUGAACGUUCGAUCUCAAAUCAGGUAGGACUACCCGCUGAACUUAA